CAGUGCAUAUAAAAAUAUAUGAUAAACAAAUUAUUUACACCAACAACAGAUAAAAACAAAAAGGAUAAAAUACAGAAGUCCUAAUUACUCACUUAGGUUUUCAAAGUACAAUAUUCUGUCCAGGGGGUCUCUGGCAAGGAAAGAUGGUGACUCACUCAAAAUUAGAUCUUGGCCCCAAGCAAGUACACAAACACCCUUCAGGAUCAUUAGAUAUAUACCCUGUGGUUUAUCAAGUCUUGCCCAGGGGUGGAGUUAAGGAGUACCUACAGAAAUAAUAACUGACCACCUCCUUUGUUCCAGACCAC